GGCGGACGGGUGAGUAACACGUGGGCAACCUGCCUGUAAGACUGGGAUAACUUCGGGAAACCGGAGCUAAUACCGGAUAAUCCUUUUCCUCUCAUGAGGGAAAGCUGAAAGACGGUUUCGGCUGUCACUUACAGAUGGGCCCGCGGCGCAUUAGCUAGUUGGUGAGGUAACGGCUCACCAAGGCGACGAUGCGUAGCCGACCUGAGAGGGUGAUCGGCCACACUGGGACUGAGACACGGCCCAGACUCCUACGGGAGGCAGCAGUAGGGAAUCUUCCGCAAUGGACGAAAGUCUGACGGAGCAACGCCGCGUGAACGAUGAAGGCCUUCGGGUCGUAAAGUUCUGUUGUCAGGGAAGAACAAGUACCGGAGUAACUGCCGGUACCUUGACGGUACCUGACCAGAAAGCCACGGCUAACUACGUGCCAGCAGCCGCGGUAAUACGUAGGUGGCAAGCGUUGUCCGGAAUUAUUGGGCGUAAAGCGCGCGCAGGCGGUUCCUUAAGUCUGAUGUGAAAGCCCCCGGCUCAACCGGGGAGGGUCAUUGGAAACUGGGGAACUUGAGUGCAGAAGAGGAGAGCGGAAUUCCACGUGUAGCGGUGAAAUGCGUAGAGAUGUGGAGGAACACCAGUGGCGAAGGCGGCUCUCUGGUCUGUAACUGACGCUGAGGCGCGAAAGCGUGGGGAGCGAACAGGAUU
rnacentral:rRNA from 1 species